GACGAACGCUGGCGGCGUGCUUAACACAUGCAAGUCGAACGGAAAGGCCCUGCUUUUGUGGGGUUCUCGAGUGGCGAACGGGUGAGUAACACGUGAGUAACCUGCCCUUGACUUUGGGAUAACUUCAGGAAACGGGGGCUAAUCCCGGACAGGAUCCGCUGCUGCAUGGUGGGGGGUGGAAAUUUUCGGCGGUUGGGGAUGGACUCGCGGCUUAUCAGCUUGUUGGUGGGGUAGUGGCUUACCCAGGCUUUGACGGGUCGCCGGCAUGAGAGGGUGACCGGCCACAUUGGGACUGAGAUACGGACCAGACUCCUACGGGAGGCAGCAGUGGGGAAUAUUGCCCAAUGGGCGGAAGCCUGAGGAAGCAACGCCGCGGGCGGGAUGACGGCCUUCGGGUUGUGAACCGCUUUCGCCUGUGACGAAGCGUGAGUGACGGUAAUGGGUAAAGAAGCACCGGCUAACUACGUG
rnacentral:rRNA from 1 species